rnacentral:rRNA from 1 species
CAGCAGCCGCGGUAAUACGGAGGGUGCAAGCGUUAAUCGGAAUUACUGGGCGUAAAGCGCACGCAGGCGGUCUGACAAGUCAGAUGUGAAAUCCCCGGGCUCAACCUGGGAACUGCAUUUGUGACUGUAUAGCUAGAGUACGGCAGAGGGGGAUGGAAUUCCGCGUGUAGCAGUGAAAUGCGUAGAGAUCUGGAGGAAUACCGGUGGCGAAGGCGGCCCCCUGGACAAAGACUGACGCUCAGGUGCGAAAGCGUGGGGAGCAAACAGGAUUAGAUACCCGCGUAGUCCCUGUCUCUUAUAC